rnacentral:lncRNA from 1 species
CUCUCUUUCACACUUAAACCCUAACCUUUUAAGCCAUGUCUUAGUCAUCUUUAAGCUCCACCUAUUACCCAAUUGAAAGAUAAUGGAUUAGCAAAAGAGGAGUGUUUGUCGGUCUCGUUGUAACAUCUACAUCCAAACACUUUGUGUUGUGUGAGUGGUGACUCCAACCAAAAUCAAAGAGAAUGAGUAAAUGUAAUCGCCGCCAAGAUUAGUGAAACAAGAAGAGGUGAUCACUUCCUUAUUAGUGAGAAGAUAUAGCGCUGACCGCUACCUUAUUAGUGAGACGAUUGUAGUAAUCUCUUUUGCAUUGUUACAAAAAAUUACGGUGAUCUCUACCCUCUUAGCUAGAGAGACGUUUGCAAAUUUAAUCAUUGUUAGGGCCUAGUUUUAACUUGUUAUAGAUCUAAUAUCUUGAGACGUAUUCUGGAUCAAAUAUCCUUGAUGUGUAUUACGAGACCUCAGAGGAUCAAGAAUCCUUAGUGUUUGCUAUGGUUAAGGAGUUGCACGUGUUCAUUAAACAACGGUCAUGGGGCGAGGACGGAUUGAUCAAGUUAUAACCACACACUACUGUCAUACGAGCUCUGCUAAAACAUUGUACCAAGCUUGAUCGAUUUCCGAAGUUGUAUUAUACAUUGUUGCUUGAUAGAAAUUGGUGGUAGAUAGUUUUCACCACCCGAAGUUUUUAUGUCGGCGAUCUACUAGUGAUCAAGGGCUU